rnacentral:rRNA from 1 species
UGGUGGAGCGAUUUGUCUGCUUAAUUGCGAUAACGAACGAGACUCUGGCCUACUAACUAGGAGACAGUUCUUCGAGACUGUCAUACUUCUUAGAGGGAUAAGGGGAUUGAAGCCCCAAGAGAUUGAGCAAUAACA